CAUUCAAUCACCACCACCACCUCAUACAACCUUCACCUUUAUCACCUCUUCCUCUAAUUCAAUCUCAAUCUCUCUCUAGCUUUAUUCUCACAAUCUCAAAGAACCCACCAACAUAUCGACAACAAGCCCAGCUCUCUUUGCCUUUUCUUUACAUGUCAUUCUCAACGACAGUGAAAAAAACUAAAUCCCCCAACCCAUCUCAAUCGGCGUCGUCGGCAAGCCUUCACAACGCGGAGAACGAGAUUGAGAUCCUCUCCAGAGUUCACAACACAGGAUUGUGAUUCUGCGCAAAUUCGGUAGUCGACGACCCACGGUCACCUAGUUCUGAAGCCUACCACUCGUCAUCCCAAGCAAACAAUUUCUGAGGAUAUUUCUAGACUGACCAUCGACCCCCAAAAGAGUAACAGCAGCUCCCAGUCCUCAGAAACGAGUUCCAAUUUUGGUGCUGUUCUCCAGCCCAAGAAGGAGAGAGGUAAGAAGAAAACGAAGGGCAGAAGCAGCAAUUUCUUCAGCAUUACUGACAAUAAAAUUGAGGGGAUCAGAGCUAAGCGGGUAGGAAUUUUCCAGUUUGGUAACACCCACGUCCAUGAAGGCCACCAGAAAGAAAUACAAGUCGACUCCAGUAGUGGAGAAACCGACUCCGCCUCCAGUGAAGAAGAAGAGUAAGCUGAUGACUCGCUGAGGUCUGUAGAUAGCUUAGUCUCCUUUUUAAUUAUGCAAUAUUUGAUAUUUUAAGUAAUCUCCUUUUUAAUUAUGCAAUAUUUGAUAUUUUCAGUAAUUUUAUUGCGUUAUCUUCCACAUUA